rnacentral:tRNA from 1 species
GCCCCCGUAGCUCAAAGGCUAGAGCAGGUCCCUCAUAAGGACGAGGUUCCUGGUUCGAAUCCAGGCGGGGGCA